UACGAGGGGGGCGAGCGUUGUUCGGAAUUAUUGGGCGUAAAGGGUGCGUAGGCGGCCUGACAAGUCUGAUGUGAAAUCCCUGGGCUCAACCCAGGGCCUGCAUCGGAAACUGUCGGGCUUGAGUAUGGGAGAGGUGAGUGGAAUUUCCGGUGUAGCGGUGAAAUGCGUAGAUAUCGGAAGGAACACCUGUGGCGAAAGCGGCUCACUGGACCAUUACUGACGCUGAGGCACGAAAGCGUGGGGAGCAAACAGG
rnacentral:rRNA from 1 species